CGGCGCCGCGCCUCCCUACCCGCGCCCUGCGUCGGAGCCCUUGGACUUCCCCCGCGCGGCGAGGUUGUGCUGGUCUUGCAAGGCCGAGCCCCUUCCCUAGGGCUCCUACACUCACAAAGCCUCAAGAUGGGUUCUCUGCAUGUCAAGUCUGCCCAGAGAGUGCAAACUAUUGGCCGGAG